rnacentral:rRNA from 1 species
ACCAGGUCUUGACAUCCCAAUGCUAUUCUAGAGAUAGAAAGUUACUUCGGUACAUCGGUGACAGGUGGUGCAUGGUUGUCGUCAGCUCGUGUCGUGAGUAUGUUGGGUUAAGUCCCGCAACGAGCGCAACCCCUAUUGUUAGUUGCCAUCAUUCAGUUGGGCACUCUAGCGAGACUGCCGGUAAUAAACCGGAGGAAGGUGGGAUGACGUCAAAUCAUCAUGCCCUUAUGACCUGGGCUACACACGUGCUACAAUGGUUGGUACAACGAGUUGCGAGUCGGUGACGGCGAGCUAAUCUCUUAAAGCCAAUCUCAGUUCGGAUUGUAGGCUGCAACUCGCCUACAUGAAGUCGGAAUCGCUAGUAAUCGCGGAUCAGCACGCCGCGGUGAAUACGUUCCCGGGUCUU